CAGAUUAUCCGGAAGGAUGGCUCCGUGCGCAGGUCCUGGGGCCGGGGUCCUAGGGCGGUGGUCACAGGGCUGAGACUAAAAACAAACCCUGAGAAGUAGUCGCCCAGGCCCCGAGCCCCAGGAUUUCCGGCCUGCGACGUGAGGCCAUGCUGGAGCACGAAGGAUGGUGGUCAGACAGGACAGACACUGGCUCUGAACAGGACCUCCCUCUUCCCUCCUCCCCCACCUCGGACUCGGGAGUUCCUGCUGUCCCCCUUCCCGAUGACCGGUGACGCACAUCCCCUCCUCUUCCCGAGUCCAUUUAUAAGCCCCCGCCGGCCGGCAGGCGCCCAGAGGGGAGUGGAACAGCCCAGGGCCAGUGUGGCCACUGUGGAGGCGUCGGGGGGUGCGCUGGGGGGGGUGGAGAGAGGAUUCCACAAAUGCUGGAAAAGUCCCUGCUCUGACCUUUAGCGCCAGCCAGCCAAUGAGAAGGGGGAAACGCUUAGUGGGCUGGACCACAGAGGGCUAGGGUAGUUAACUCGUUAACGCGACGAAACAACCUCGACCCAUUCAUCGCAAUUUUCCAACUUCCAAUGGAAGAUCUGUUUGGAUGUUAUUUUAUUUUGUUCCCCAGUCUAACACAGUACCUGACACACAGCUGCAAUGAAGACAAUGUUAUAGUUGGAACCAAUGCCAGGAUGGAAGGAGGAAGAAGUGACCCUCAAAGGGAAGGGCCAUGUCCAGCAACACAAGGAUCUAAGACAUCUCCAAAGGCCUCAUGAUGAAAAAUGCUAUCCACAUCCAAAGAAAGAACUAUGGAGUUUGAAUGCAGAUCGAAGCAACUAUUUGCUAUCUUUUUUUUCUUCUGUUGUGUUUUGCUUCCUCUUUCUGGUGGUUUCUCCUAUUAGUUCUAACUCUUACUUACAACAUCACUAAUGUGAAAAUAUGUUUAAUAGGAAUGUAUAUGUAUAGC
rnacentral:lncRNA from 1 species